CCUACGGGAGGCAGCAGUGAGGAAUAUUGGUCAAUGGGCGGAAGCCUGAACCAGCCAAGUAGCGUGCGGGAUGAAGGCCCUACGAGUUGUAAACUGCUUUUGCACGGGGGUAACAGCCGCCACUUGUAUCUGUCUGCAGGUACCGUGCGAAUAAGGGCCGGCUAAUUCCGUGCCAGCAGCCGCGGUAAUACGGAGGGGUCGAGCGUUAUCCGGAUUUAUUGGGGUUAAAGGGUGCGUAGGCGGGCGGUUAAGUUAGCGGUGAAAUCCCGGGGCUCAACCUCGGCACUGCAUCUGAUACUGGACGGCUAGAGAUUAGUAGCGGUAGGCGGAAUGCGUGGUGUAGCGGUGAAAUGCAUAGAUAUCACGAGGAACACCGAUUGCGAAGGCAGCCUGCCGGGGUGCGACUGACGCUGAGGCUCGAAGGUGUGGGUAGCAAACAGGAUUAGAUACCCUUGUAGUC
rnacentral:rRNA from 1 species